UAGCGGAGGAAAAGAAACCAACAGGGAUUGCCUCAGUAAUGGCGAACGAAGCGGCAACAGCCCAAAUUUGAAAUCUGGCGUAAGCCCGAGUUGUAAUUUGGAGGUAGACUAUUUGGGUGUCUGUGUCAACUAAGUGCCUUGGAAUAGGCCGCCGUAGAGGGUGAGAGCCCCGUGAGUUGACUAGCAGUUAUUCAGUUUGUCUUCCGACGAGUCGAGUUGUUUGGGAUUGCAGCUCUAAGUGGGUGGUAUAUUCCAUCUAAGGCUAAAUAAUAGCGAGAGACCGAUAGCAAACAAGUACAGUGAUGGAAAGAUGAAAAGAACUUUGAAAAGAGAGUGAAAUAGUACGUGAAAUUGUUGAAAGGGAAGGGUAUCUGAUCCGACGUGGUAUUUAGAUGUCGCCUGCCCUUGUGGCGGGUGCUCCAUUUUUUUACUGGGCCAGCGUGAGUUAGAAGGGGAUGAAAAGGCGGGAACGAAUGUAGCCUUCCUCCCUUUGGGAGAGGGGUGUUAUAACAUUCCUGUUUAGUUCCUUUCUGACUGAGGUCCGCGGUUUUUUAUUACCAAGGACGCUGGCAGAACGAGCAGAUACCGCCCGUCUUGA
rnacentral:rRNA from 1 species